GUCGAACGGUGUAGCAAUACACAGUGGCGCACGGGUGCGUAACACGUAUGCAACCUACCUAUCAUUGGGGGAUAGCCUUUGGAAACGGAGAUUAAUACCGCAUAAGACAGUAACAUGGCAUCAUGUAGCUGUUAAAGCUUUGGCGAUGAUAGAUGGGCAUGCGUCCAAUUAGUUAGUUGGUGAGGUAAUGGCUCACCAAGACGAUGAUUGGUAGGGGAUCUGAGAGGAUAAUCCCCCACACUGGCACUGAGAUACGGGCCAGACUCCUACGGGAGGCAGCAGUAGGGAAUAUUGGGCAAUGGGCGGAAGCCUGACCCAGCCAUGCCGCGUGCAGGAUGAAGGCGUUAUGCGUUGUAAACUGCUUUUUUAUAGGAAGAAGGAGACCUUGCGAGGUUUGGUGACGGUACUAUAAGAAUAAGCACCGGCUAACUCCGUGCCAGCAGCCGCGGUAAUACGGAGGGUGCGAGCGUUGUCCGGAUUUAUUGGGUUUAAAGGGUGCGUAGGCGGUUUAUUAAGUCAGUGGUGAAAGACGGUCGCUCAACGAUUGCAGUGCCAUUGAUACUGGUAGACUUGAGUUCGUAUGAGGUAGCUGGAAUGGAUAGUGUAGCGGUGAAAUGCAUAGAUAUUAUCCAGAACUCCAAUUGCGUAGGCAGGUUACUAAUACGAUACUGACGCUGAUGCACGAAAGUGUGGGGAUCAAACAGGAUUAGAUACCCUGGUAGUCCACACUGUAAACGAUGAUGACUAACUGUUUGCCCUUUGGGGUGAGUGGUACAGAGAAAUCG
rnacentral:rRNA from 1 species